UCAAAAAAAUCAAAUACGAUUAGAAAAUACAGAGAGAAGAAGGAGAGAGAGAUAAAGUGAGAGACCAUAACGGCAUUCAAGCCAAGUUGACCUAACCAAAAAAUAAAUGUGCUGAUAGCUCUCUAGUUCUUGUAUCCAUGUAUUAAGUAGUAAAGAAAGCAGUUGGCAUAGUUACAAAAGUUAAAUUAAGUAAAGUAUACAAUAUACAUUACAUAUUUAAGUAUAAAAUAAGCCUUGUAUACAAAUGGUCAUAUAUAUAUGUACACAUUUGCAGACAUAAAUAGUCAAAGAUGCGUACGCAUAUAUAUGCACAUGCAUACAAACGAAGCAAUAAAGAUCGCAGUAUUAAAAGAAAAUGAAAAAUAAGAAAAUAGUCAGUGACAGUACUACUUAGAAAGAAAAUAUAAAACAUGGCUAUAUUUUUCUUUUCUAAUUUCAAUCAUUUCUCAAUUUGUCUUGUAUUAUUUUUUAUCUAUCAAUUUAAUCUGGCCAUCCUUCAGUCUUCUCCUUUCACUAUUCCUGGGUCUUGAUGGUAGAGUCCUCACGCUUCUCCAUAGGGUUCUAUCAGAAACAACCAUUUUUAGACUUUCCAGCUGGACUCCUGAACAUAACCAACUGAAACUAUGGGCAUUAUCCAACUAUUUCUUUCUUGGUUUAUCACUAGGUCUCCUGUUUUACGAUUCUUUCCUGUUUACAUUCUAAUUGCUUAACCAUAGUAAAAGAACCCCUUCAGUUAUGAAUGACUAUGGGAUUGCACCUUGAAAGUUCCCAUCUGAGGCACAAGUCCAGGCAAGGUUGUUUAUGGAAGACCAGCAGUCACUCAUACAUACCAGCCUCUCCUCUCCACGCCACCGAUGUUGUC